GUUAUUCUCUUUUUACUACCACUACCGCUUCCGGGACAAAAAAUUUUAACACCUUUAGUAGCGAGGUUUCUUAAUUUAUCCAUAAUAUAAAUUAAAUUAAACUAAAAAUAUUCAAAAUACACAAAUAUAAUAAAAUUAAAUAUCAAACAAUUAAUACAAUAAAUAAAAAUUAAACGUAAGAGAUGGAACGACAAUACCAAAUUUUGGAAGUAUCCGAAGGUUGCGACUUUAGAAACUUCUGCUCGUACUUUGUAAACGA
rnacentral:lncRNA from 1 species